GACGUAGGGGGCGAACGUUAUCCGGAAUUAUUGGCCGUAAAGCGCACGUAGGCGGCUUUGUAAGUCAGAGGUGAAAGCCCAGGGCUUAACCCUGGAAUUGCCUUUAAGACUGCAUCGCUAGAAUCGUGGAGAGGUGAGUGGAAUUCCGAGUGUAGAGGUGAAAUUCGUAGAUAUUCGGAAGAACACCAGUGGCGAAGGCGACUCACUGGACACGUAUUGACGCUGAGGUGCGAAAGCGUGGGGAGCAAACAGG
rnacentral:rRNA from 1 species